GGGCCGUUUGAAGAUGAGCCUGCGUCCCAUCAGCUAGUUGGCAGGGGUAAUGGCCUACCAAGGCUUAGACGGGUAGCUGGUCUGAGAGGAUGAUCAGCCACACUGGAACUGAGACACGGUCCAGACUCCUACGGGAGGCAGCAGUGGGGAAUAUUGCGCAAUGGGCGAAAGCCUGACGCAGCAACGCCGCGUGGGUGAUGGAGGCCUCGGUUGUAAAGCCUGUCGGUGGAACGAACAGGUCCUGAGGAGGGACGUCUGACGGUACCGAUCGGAGGAAGCACCGGCUAACUUCGUGCCAGCAGCCGCGGUAAUACGAAGGGUGCAAGCGUUGCUCGGAAUUAUUGGGCGUAAAGCGUACGCAGGCGGUCUACCAAGUCGGGCGUGAAAGUCCGGGGCUCAACUCCGGGAAGUCGCACGAAACUAGCAGACUUGAGUUCGGGAGAGGGGUGUGGAAUUCCCAGUGUAGAAGUGAAAUUCGUAGAUAUUGGGAGGAACACCGGUGGCGAAGGCGACACCCUGGCCCG
rnacentral:rRNA from 1 species